rnacentral:tRNA from 1 species
GGGCAUUUGGUUUAGUGGUAUGAUUCUCGCUUUGGGCGCGAGGGUCCCGAGUUUGAUUCUCGGAAUGCCCC